rnacentral:rRNA from 1 species
UACGUAGGGGGCAAGCGUUGUCCGGAUUUAUUGGGCGUAAAGAGCGUGUAGGCGGUUUGGUAGGUCCGCUGUGAAAACGUCGAGGCUCAACCUCGAGACGCCGGUGGAAACCAUCAGACUAGAGUCCGGAAGAGGAGAGUGGAAUUCCGUGGUGUAGCGGUGAAAUGCGCAGAUAUCAGGAAGAACACCCGUGGCUAAGGCGGCUCUCUAGUACGGUACUGACGCUGAGACGCG